rnacentral:tRNA from 1 species
GCCAGGGUAGCUCAGUGGCAGAGCAGACGUUUCAUAAGCGUCAGGUCGCGAGUUCGAUCCUCGCCCCUGGCACCA